AUGGAGUGGACGACGGUGGAGACGGCUGACGGGGCCAAGCUGAGCGUGCGGCUCUUCAAGCCGGCGGCGCCGGUGGAGGACGCGGAGGACGUGGCGGUGGUGCUCGUGCACCCCUACACGAUCCUCGGCGGCGUGCAGGGCCUGCUGCGCGGCAUGGCCCAGGGCCUCGCGGAGCGGGGCCACCGCGCCGUCACCUUCGACAUGCGCGGCGCCGGGCGCUCCACCGGCCGCGCCUCGCUCACGGGCUCCAGCGAGGUCAGGGACGUCGUCGCCGUCUGCCGCUGGGUCGCCGACACCCUCAAGCCGCGCGCCGUCCUCCUCGUCGGCUCCUCCGCCGGAGCACCAAUUGCGGGAUCUGCAGUUGAUAAGGUUGACCAGGUGGUUGGCUAUGUUAGCAUCGGGUACCCAUUUGGUUUAUUGGCCUCAAUCCUAUUCGGCAGACAUCAUGAUGCUAUCCUCAAGUCUGAGAAACCAAAGUUAUUCAUCAUGGGAACCAAAGAUGGCUUUACGAGCGUAAAGCAGCUGCAAAACAAGCUCAAGUCUGCUGCUGGACGGGUUGAUACACACUUGAUUGAAGGAGCCGGUCACUUCCAAAUGGAAGGUCCUGCUUUUGAUGCCCAGAUGGUAGAUCUCAUUGUCAAUUUUAUCAAAUCUUUGCCCAAAUAG
rnacentral:rRNA from 1 species